rnacentral:lncRNA from 1 species
UAUAAUAAUGUAGUGUGGCAUUUGCAAUAGUCUCAUUUUGUCUAGAAAUUAGAUUUUUGUUUACGUAAAGUGAGAAAGUACUGUAAAAAAAAAUUGUUCUACUUAACUGUGAAUGAAAAAUAAUAUAUUGUGGUACUUGUAGCAAUCAUUCUGUCUAAAAAUUAGGGCUCUAUUUGUAAUUGUAGGAAGAUUGCAUUAUGCAAAAGAAAUAUAUUUAAUUUUAUUCCGUAUGUUAUAAUAUAUUUGGCAUUGGUAACCGUCAUUCUGUCGAGAAAUUAAGGAUUUGUUUGGAAUUACAGGAGAAUUGUAUUACAUGCAAUAAAAAAAUACUUAAUUCAGUAGGUAAUAAUGGUGUGGCAUUUGUAGUAAUUAUUAUAUCUGGAAAUUAGAGGUCUAUUUGGAAUUGUAGAAAAAUUACAUUACCGGCAAUAAAAAAAGAGAAAAAAUAAUAUAUUAUAUUAUCCUACUUAAUUCCAUACGUAAUAAUAUAUUGUGGCACUUGUACUAAUCAUUCUAUCUAAAAAUUAGGAAUCUAUUUAGAAUUGUAGAAAAAUUAUAUUACGUGCAAUGAGAAAGUACAAUAAAAAAAUAUAUUUUAUCUUAAUUCCGUAUGUAAUAAUAUAUUGUGCAGCAAUAAAUCACUAUAAUUUUUGGAUUCC